UACGUAGGGGGGCAAGCGUUGUCCGGAUUUAUUGGGCGUAAAGAGCGUGUAGGCGGCUUGGAAGGUCAGCUGUGAAAACUCGAGGCUCAACCUCGAGACGUCGGUUGAAACCACCUGGCUAGAGUCCGGAAGAGGAGUGUGGAAUUCCCGGUGUAGCGGUGAAAUGCGCAGAUAUCGGGAAGAACACCCGUGGCGAAGGCGGCACUCUGGGACGGUACUGACGCUGAGACGCGAAAGCGUGGGGAGCGAACAGG
rnacentral:rRNA from 1 species